GGAGAAGUACCCAAGCUGGUUGAAGGGACACCCCUGGAAAGGGUGCAGGUCGCUAAUAACGGCGCGAGGGUUCGAAUCCCUCCUUCUCCG
rnacentral:tRNA from 1 species